rnacentral:rRNA from 1 species
UACGGAGGAUCCGAGCGUUAUCCGGAUUUAUUGGGUUUAAAGGGUGCGCAGGCGGGAGAUUAAGUCGGCGGUGAAAUUUUGCAGCUCAACUGUAAAAGUGCCUUCGAAACUGGUUUCCUUGAGUGUAGAUGAAGUAGGCGGAAUUUGUGGUGUAGCGGUGAAAUGCAUAGAUAUCACGAGGAACUCCGAUUGCGCAGGCAGCUUACUAAACUACUACUGACGCUCAGGCACGAAGGCGUGGGGAUCAAACAGGAUUAGAUACCCU